rnacentral:lncRNA from 1 species
AUUUGUUUUCAGCAUCUCUGCAGUGACUCAGUGAGACAGAUGUACUCUUCGGGGCUAGCAAAGUUGCAUUGCCUUUUUAUGAAUAGCUGAGGUAUUCGAAACUGCAAAACAACUUCCCAGAGGAGACAAGUGAGCCUCAGCCUGAGAUUGCUCAGACCCUCCUGGAAAACUCGCUGCCUGGAAAUGUUAGAAGGUAAGAAAUGGCAACAGCAACUGUAAAUGUCAAAGAAGAAAACAUUCUAGUCACCGGUGAUACAUUAAAGAUCCCCAUCCAGGGGGAGAACUCCAUGAUAUUAAGCUCUCCCCAGGCAUCGAGCUGUAUUAGGUAGAGCGAGGGUAUUUCUAACUGAAGUAGAUAAAUGCUCCAGCUGCUUUUAGAAAAGAUCCUGAAAUAUUUGGUGUUUUUCAACCUAAACAGAUUUAUAUCACAACAUGAACAUGUUAAAUAAGGGCAGGUAGAUAAAAGGGAACGUCUGCUGGUAAAGGUGUUACCGUAAAAGACAGAGCAUAGCUUCAACAUGCUGCAUGACUUAGAUGCAAGCAUUGCUAGACACUUAGCUCAGUAUUUCUAAACCUAUAGUUUGUGAUGUUUGUAAGGGUCAAUAAAAGAUAUAAAAGAUGUUGAAAAUGUUAAAUAGCAGCAGCAGCUGUAGUUCAUUUCUACAGGAGGUGGUUUAGGAAAGCAAAUUAUAAUACCAGGCUGCAACGUUCACAAGGCAGGGAACUGCAAACACCCUUAACUGCCAGCAGCAGCUCAGCUCCUUCAAGGCAAAGGAUUAAGCAUAAACACAUGCAGCCUGUAAUUUUGGCUUGGUUUGAUGCCCCUGCAAUACAUGAUAGGAAAUACUGAUGAAGAGAGCAAAAAGACUAGGGUCACAUUAAAAAAAAAAUAAAAUAGUCACAGAUGGUUUACUACACCUGCCUUAUAGGGAUCUGCCUGUUAUUUUUUACAGCCUGAACAUGCUGAGAAAUGCAUAGAAGGGCUCAACGGUGAUGGGGAAGGUGGACAUCAAUAACUGCCAGACAAAGGACUACGGUUUUCCUUCUGUAAAACAGCACAGUUUCAUUAACUUCAGUGAAACUUCCAAAGUCCAUGGACUGUCACAUGUACCUCCGGGACCCGCUAUGCAUAAAGGUUACCACCAUUUAUUGUGGAGCGUGCAACUAGCCUUCUCCAGCCGCAAAUGGCGCUUGUGUUUGAGCCAUGGGAACAGCUUUCUGGGAGAGAAGAUUUCCAUCUUACUGUUAGUGUGAAGCUCCCCUCUCUCCUUGAGAAUAACCCAUCAAGCCCAAUUUAGGAAGGCUGUCUUGCAGGAUCGUUGUCUCCCAAAGGUCUCUAGAUAGACUGCUGCAUGUAAGUUGCCUCUGACAACCGAGCUCCCCAUUCACCUCUCCCAGCACGGUCAUUUUCAACUCUUUAACAUCUGCAGGCUCAAGCUUUGUCAACACCACAACGCAGAUUUUUGUCCGUAUGCAAGACUCAUUAUAGUUAGUGGUUAGACAGCAGAUCACUCAUUUCGCACUACACCACAGCAUGCACCUCUUCUGCCUAUGCCAGCCCUGGCCUAAGUACCACAGGGCUCCUCCAGAUCCCUGGCUUCCUUCCCAUGGGGUCAGCGUGUCCCCAGGGCACACGGCUAGAUCAGAGAACAUGGGACGGCAACGUGCUGCUGAGCUGGGACACUCCUAGUCCUUACAUCUCAAACGUGUUCCUGUGGCAAGGUGUUCAAGCCCAACAAGCUCCACCAGACCGUCAGACCGUCCAGGAAACAGCUGCCAACUGGGAUGUCACAAGACAUCUUGUAGCACCUUAAACAAACUUGAUGCUUUAUGUUUUACGUUCAUGAUGUUAUGCUAUGACGUUAUGUUCGACACAAGACAAGUGUAAGUAGGUAGGUAAGUCUUGAACAUUAUGUUGAGAUUAAUCAAUAUGACUCUUAAGGCCUAGUAGCAUUUUCCUCCUGUUACUUCAUAAUUGUCUAUAUAGUUUAGAAAUCAAUUUUCGAAGUCAACUCUUCACUGCCACUGCCACUUACCUGAGAUGAAUGUUAUAAAGAAGAGCAGCUCACUUACUUACUUCAAUUUUUAAUAAUGUUUGGUCUUGCAAAAGAAACUUUCCUGUUUCCACGGGACUUCACCCCUAGCAAUCACUAUUCCAAAAACAUAUCUUACCCAUAUAAUUCUUUUUACUUCAUAGAAGUUCAAAAAUACAAGUAAAGGUCAUAUGCUAAUUUGGUAUUUCAAAAUCAUACUCAGACCUGAAGCUUCAUAAAAGUAAGUUUGAUUAUGACACUUGAUGUACCCUACAUAUAGGAAUACCUUAAAAUUACUUGUUAUUACUUUAUGAACUGAGCUUUUUUUGUUUUGCAGUAAGACAUAAUUUUAAAAAGCCUUAAGUAAUGGAAAACACCCAGCCAAAGAUUUUUUUAUCAUUGUCCUGCUAAAAUAACAGCAGAUGUACCAAAUAAAGUACUUUUUGAAAAUUCUUGAACA